UUUGAAUAAAAAUAACAAGGUUUCAAUAUUUAAAAUAAAUAACUAAAAACCCGAAUCCAAGUGAGAACAUUAAAAUAAACAUCAUAAACAAAAUGAGUCUUUAUUUCAAUUGGAAAUAUUAUUCUUCUUUCAUCUUUGACCAUCAUUCGCCCCGCCUCUCAUCGCCCGAGUCAUCUCCUGAAAAGAUAUUGUUUUGGGGUGAGUACAAUAAACUCAGUGGGGUGCAUUUAUCCAUAUUAUAAGAAUUACAACAAAAAUAUAAGUGCAAAGAAAACUGUCUUGCUCUUUCAUAUUGCCCGAAAGCAAUAACUUUCUGUCUCUUAGCCCGAAGGCUAUGUAACUUUCUGUCUCAUAUAGCCCGUAGGCUAUAACUUUCUGUCUCAUAUAACCCGUAGGCUAUAACUUUCUGUCUCAUAUAACCCGUAGGCUAUAACUUUCUGUCUCAUAUAACCCGUAGGUCAUAACUUUCUGUCUCAUAGCCCGUAGGCUCUGCCUGCUUCUCACACAUAUAAAAUUGAGUAAAACGUAUAAUAAGGAUAAAUGUUAAAUGCAACGUUAUAACCCCACCUUAACCUUUCUUGAGUAAAUCUUGCAAUUAAAUAAUUAAGUCUCGCGCGCCGUUCCUAAAAUGAAUUAUGAAAUCAUAAUUAAAAAUAUGCUUAAACAAUGAAUGCACAUGAAGAUGAAUUUGUAAAUAUGAACGACAUUUCUUUUCCUACUAAUAUUUACUAUAUAUAUAUAUAUAUAUAUAUACCUUUCUAAAUGCUCGAAAAUGUAUACUUUAAAAUUAAAGUUCAUUUAUUAAAUCUAAUUUAAACGAAAACUAUGAAUAUAUAUAUAUAACUCUAACUAUAAAAUAUAUAUGUGAAUAUUAAAAGUAGAGAAUCUAGGACAGCUAAUUAGAUAUAUAUAUACACAUAUGCGUUUGACUUUCUUUAAAGGAGUUAGAAGCAUACAAAAAUAUAUUCAUAGGUAUUUGCAUUAAAAAAAUGAAAAGCUAGUUUCCCUAGGUCAUCCAUGCAUAGUACCCGUAGCCUUCACUCCAUAAGUAAUAGUAUAUAUAUAUAUAUAUAUAUAUAUAUGAGUAUAAUGAAAGAACAGUGCAUUAAAAAAAGAGACUCUGACAAUUUUAUCAAAACAUGUAAGGAAAACUAUUGACAUGAUGCGUAUGGUCAGACUUUCUGGCUAGUACAGUAAAAGAAGUGGUAUCAUCUUUGUUGACGAGAAUGAAAACACUGAAGGAAAUAGAGGAAACACGAAAAAAAUACAGAUGAAUACAGAAGUUGAAGAAGAGGAGGUUUACCUCACUCGGAGAGCUCGAUAGAUAAAUUUUUGGGUGUGAGGAAAUGAAUGAAGAUGACUGCUAUUUAUACUAAGAGCUAGAUAUUAUUUAUGGAAGAAGCACCAAUCAAAAAUAAAUCUUUCCAUAAUCUAAUAUUGUCAAGAAGGAAAAUGAAUUAGGGUAAAU
rnacentral:lncRNA from 1 species